UGGUCAUAUGCUCGUCUCAAAGACUAAGCCAUGCACGUCCAAGUUCAUAACCUUGUAGGUUGAAACUGCGAAGCGCUCAGUAAAUCAGUUAUCGUCUGUUCGAUCGUUCACGCUACACUGGAUAACUGUGGCAAACCUAUAGCUAAUACAUGUACAAGACGCCUCCUCACUGGCGACAUUUAUUAGACAACCAACACCGACUCCCCGUAAAAAGUGGGUCAGCAGGUGAAUCUAGAUAACUGUGCUUACCGCAUAGCCUCCGCGCUGGCGGUAGUUCGAUCGAWUUUCUGCCCUAUCAACUWGUUGGUAAGGUAGUGGCUUACCAAGGUAGUAACGGGUAACGGGGAAUCAGGGUUCGAUUCCGGAGAGGGAGCCUGAGAAACGGCUACCACAUCCAAGGAAGGCAGCAGGCGCGCAAAUUACCCAAUCCAGACAUUGGGAGGUAGUGACGAGAAAUACUGGGGACGCCCCAAGCGGGCGUCAUCCGGAAUGAACGCAACACAAAAAAUUCGAUGAGGAUCUACUGGAGGGCAAGUCUGGUGCCAGCAGCCGCGGUAAUUCCAGCUCCAGUAGUGUAUAUCAACAUUGUUGCGCUUAAAACGCUCGUAGUUGGAUUACAGGACGUUAAACGACGCCGCGAAUUUGCGGUUGCGGUUUGUGCAGGCCCUUUGCAGUCCCUCAAGAUUGCGGCGGGUAGCACCGAUGACGUCCUUUUGUCUCGCUAGCUCUUGCGGCCUCCUUUGUUGGUGGCUGUGAGACGCUGGCGGAGUGUGCCUUGAAUAAAGCAUAGUGCUCAAAGCAGGCGUACGCUCGUAUGUAAUAGCAUGGAACGAAUAUACAUGGCCAAAGUGUAGUCCUCAUCAUUUGGUGGAAUUGUACACACACAGGUGCAAUCAGUGUUGGUUGUGCRCCGGGUCUCAGUGGUUAAGAGGGACAUCUGAGGGCACUAGUACUUUGUGGCGAGAGGUGAAAUUCUUAGACCCACAAAAGACUGACUACUGCGAAAGCAUUUGCCAAGCGUGUUUUCAUUAAUCAAGAACGAAGGUCAGAGGAUCGAAGACGAUCAGAUACCGUCCUAGUUUUGACAGCAAACUAUGCCAGCCUAGGUUCAGGGCGGUCACUCGUCAUCGAGGAGCACCACCUUGGCCCUUACGGGAAACCUCAAGCUUUCGGGCUGCUGGGAGAAUAUCGCUGCAAGGCUGAAAUUUAAAGAAAUUGACGGAGAGGCACCACCAGGAGUGGAGCCUGCGGCUUAAUUUGACUCAACACGGGGAAACUCACCAGGUCCAGACAUUGGUAGGAUUGACAGACUGGUAGAUCUUUCAUGAUUCGGUGAAUGGUGGUGCAUGGCCGUUCUUAGUUGGUGGAGUGAUCUGUCAGGUCUAUUCCGGUAACGAGCGAGACCACGGCCUUUAGUUUAGACGCCGCCCCAGUGGGGGUCUCUACUAGAGGGACUAUUGGUUCGAAGCCAGGGGAAGCGUGGCAAUAACAGGUCUGUGAUGCCCUUCGAUGUCCUGGGCUGCACGCGCGCUACAAUGGCAGCAGUAGAGAGUUGCUUGCUCGAGAGAGCCUGGCCAAACUGCAAAAUGCUGUCGUGAUAGGGAUUGAGCCUUGUAAUUAUUGCUCAUGAAAGAGGAAUUCCUCGUAAGCGCUAGUCAUCAGCUAGCGUUGAAUACGUCUCUGCCUCUUGUACACACCGCCCGUCGCUACUACCGAUUGAAUUGCUUCUAAAGCUGGCUGGACCGGACUUGUACGUGUUGCAGGCUGGGAGGGCCGACGAUGGAUGCCAUUUAGAGGAAGUAAAAGUCGUAACAAGGUUU
rnacentral:rRNA from 1 species